rnacentral:rRNA from 1 species
GCUUACCAUGCAGUCGAACGAUGAAGCCGCUUCGGUGGUGGAUUAGUGGCGAACGGGUGAGUAACACGUGGGCAAUCUGCCCUUCACUCUGGGACAAGCCCUGGAAACGGGGUCUAAUACCGGAUAAUACUCCUGCCUGCAUGGGUGGGGGUUGAAAGCUCCGGCGGUGAAGGAUGAGCCCGCGGCCUAUCAGCUUGUUGGUGGGGUAAUGGCCUACCAAGGCGACGACGGGUAGCCGGCCUGAGAGGGCGACCGGCCACACUGGGACUGAGACACGGCCCAGACUCCUACGGGAGGCAGCAGUGGGGAAUAUUGCACAAUGGGCGAAAGCCUGAUGCAGCGACGCCGCGUGAGGGAUGACGGCCUUCGGGUUGUAAACCUCUUUCAGCAGGGAAGAAGCGCAAGUGACGGUACCUGCAGAAGAAGCGCCGGCUAACUACGUGCCAGCAGCCGCGGUAAUACGUAGGGCGCAAGCGUUGUCCGGAAUUAUUGGGCGUAAAGAGCUCGUAGGCGGCUUGUCACGUCGGAUGUGAAAGCCCGGGGCUUAACCCCGGGUCUGCAUUCGAUACGGGCUAGCUAGAGUGUGGUAGGGGAGAUCGGAAUUCCUGGUGUAGCGGUGAAAUGCGCAGAUAUCAGGAGGAACACCGGUGGCGAAGGCGGAUCUCUGGGCCAUUACUGACGCUGAGGAGCGAAAGCGUGGGGAGCGAACAGGAUUAGAUACCCUGGUAGUCCACGCCGUAAACGUUGGGAACUAGGUGUUGGCGACAUUCCACGUCGUCGGUGCCGCAGCUAACGC